rnacentral:misc_RNA from 1 species
UUCUGGAAUCCUUGAAGAUGAGAUUUCUUUGAUCAACAGUCAACCAAUACCUUUGCUCUUCCAGGAAGUAGGAAACAGAACGAAGGCCCCGAUUGCUUCCUUGCUGCAACGGUACAGAGCACUGUCCAGCAAAUUCUGGGGAUAUUUCAGGAUGUAUAGCAAUUCUUCGCGCCACAAUAUUCUUUCGGUAGUGCUCAAAAAUCCCAAGAAAAUUCUCCUCUCUAGCUUUCAGAAUACACAUGUCUCGCAUCAGAUCAUGAACGCGACAUGUUUUGAUGCCUAUUCCCGUGUGAUCCCUUUGACUCACUUGAAUCAUGCACCUGCCCACAAGCUCUUCCAAAUAUUGCUCGCCUACAUCUUCCAUUGUUUCUUCUCCUUCUCUUUCCACUCGUGGCACAAAGCCUUCAGCAAUCCACAUCCGAAUCAAUACUCUCUUUUGAAUCUCCCAAUCUUCUGGAAAUUGAGAAAAAUAGAGAAAGAAUGGUUUCAAAUAGAAAGGCAUAUCAAGAUAGCUCAAAGCUAAUAUGCCAUACACUCCUCCAUAUUGAUGAUUUUGUUCCCACUUGACGAAUUGUGCAUUAAUAUUUCUGUGCACUGCCUCCCA